rnacentral:rRNA from 2 species
UGGUGCUUGCAUCAUGAUUUACAUUCCCCUUUUUGGCGAACUGGUGAGUAACACGUGGGAAACCUGCCCAGAAGCGGGGGAUAACACCUGGAAACAGAUGCUAAUACCGCAUAACAACUUGGACCGCAUGGUCCGAGUUUGAAAGAUGGCUUCGGCUAUCACUUUUGGAUGGUCCCGCGGCGUAUUAGCUAGAUGGUGGGGUAACGGCUCACCAUGGCAAUGAUACGUAGCCGACCUGAGAGGGUAAUCGGCCACAUUGGGACUGAGACACGGCCCAAACUCCUACGGGAGGCAGCAGUAGGGAAUCUUCCACAAUGGACGAAAGUCUGAUGGAGCAACGCCGCGUGAGUGAAGAAGGGUUUCGGCUCGUAAAACUCUGUUGUUAAAGAAGAACAUAUCUGAGAGUAACUGUUCAGGUAUUGACGGUAUUUAACCAGAAAGCCACGGCUAACUACGUGCCAGCAGCCGCGGUAAUACGUAGGUGGCAAGCGUUGUCCGGAUUUAUUGGGCGUAAAGCGAGCGCAGGCGGUUUUUUAAGUCUGAUGUGAAAGCCUUCGGCUCAACCGAAGAAGUGCAUCGGAAACUGGGAAACUUGAGUGCAGAAGAGGACAGUGGAACUCCAUGUGUAGCGGUGAAAUGCGUAGAUAUAUGGAAGAACACCAGUGGCGAAGGCGGCUGUCUGGUCUGUAACUGACGCUGAGGCUCGAAAGUAUGGGUAGCAAACAGGAUUAGAUACCCUGGUAGUCCAUACCGUAAACGAUGAAUGCUAAGUGUUGGAGGGUUUCCGCCCUUCAGUGCUGCAGCUAACGCAUUAAGCAUUCCGCCUGGGGAGUACGGCCGCAAGGCUGAAACUCAAAGGAAUUGACGGGGGCCCGCACAAGCGGUGGAGCAUGUGGUUUAAUUCGAAGCUACGCGAAGAACCUUACCAGGUCUUGACAUACUAUGCAAAUCUAAGAGAUUAGACGUUCCCUUCGGGGACAUGGAUACAGGUGGUGCAUGGUUGUCGUCAGCUCGUGUCGUGAGAUGUUGGGUUAAGUCCCGCAACGAGCGCAACCCUUAUUAUCAGUUGCCAGCAUUAAGUUGGGCACUCUGGUGAGACUGCCGGUGACAAACCGGAGGAAGGUGGGGAUGACGUCAAAUCAUCAUGCCCCUUAUGACCUGGGCUACACACGUGCUACAAUGGAUGGUACAACGAGUUGCGAACUCGCGAGAGUAAGCUAAUCUCUUAAAGCCAUUCUCAGUUCGGAUUGUAGGCUGCAACUCGCCUACAUGAAGUCGGAAUCGCUAGUAAUCGCGGAUCAGCAUGCCGCGGUGAAUACGUUCCCGGGCCUUGUACACACCGCCCGUCACACCAUGAGAGUUUGUAACACCCAAAGUCGGUGGGGUAACCUUUUAGGAACCA